rnacentral:rRNA from 1 species
UACAGAGGUCUCAAGCGUUGUUCGGAUUCAUUGGGCGUAAAGGGUGCGUAGGUGGCGCUGUAAGUCGGGUGUGAAAUUUCGGAGCUUAACUCCGAAACUGCAUUCGAUACUGCGGUGCUUGAGGACUGGAGAGGAGACUGGAAUUCAUGGUGUAGCAGCGAAAUGCGCAGAUAUCAGGAAGAACACCCGUGGCUAAGGCGGCUCUCUAGUACGGUACUGACGCUGAGACGCGAAAGCGUGGGGAGCGAACAGG